rnacentral:rRNA from 1 species
GUAAGGAAUAUUGGGCAAUGGUCGAAAGACUGACCCAGCCAUGCCGCGUGCAGGAUGAAGGCCCUAUGGGUUGUAAACUGCUUUUAGCCGGGAAUAAACACCCGUUUUAUAACGGGCCCGAAGGUACCGGCUGAAUAAGCAUCGGCUAACUCCGUGCCAGCAGCCGCGGUAAUACGGAGGAUGCAAGCGUUAUCCGGAUUCACUGGGUUUAAAGGGUGCGCAGGCGGACAUUUAAGUCAGGGGUGAAAUCCUACAGCUUAACUGUAGAACUGCCCUUGAUACUGAAUGCCUAGAGUAAAGCUGAAGUGGGCGGAAUGUGUUGUGUAGCGGUGAAAUGCUUAGAUAUAACACAGAACACCAAUCGCGAAGGCAGCUCACUAAACUUUAACUGACGCUCAUGCACGAAAGCGUGGGGAGCAAACAGGAUUAGAAACCCCAGUAGUCC